AACGCGAAGAACCUUACCUACUCUUGACAUCCACGGAAUCCUGCAGAGAUGCGGGAGUGCCUUCGGGAACCGUGAGACAGGUGCUGCAUGGCUGUCGUCAGCUCGUGUUGUGAAAUGUUGGGUUAAGUCCCGCAACGAGCGCAACCCUUAUCCUUGUUUGCCAGCGAGUAAUGUCGGGAACUCCAGGGAGACUGCCGGUGAUAAACCGGAGGAAGGUGAGGACGACGUCAAGUCAUCAUGGCCCUUACGGGUAGGGCUACACACGUGCUACAAUGGCGCGUACAGAGGGCUGCAAACUCGCGAGAGUAAGCGAAUCCCAAAAAGCGCGUCGUAGUCCGGACCGGAGUCUGCAACUCGACUCCGUGAAGUCGGAAUCGCUAGUAAUCGUGGAUCAGAAUGCCACGGUGAAUACGUUCCCGGGCCUUGUA
rnacentral:rRNA from 1 species